UACGUAGGGUGCGAGCGUUAUUCGGAAUUACUGGGCGUAAAGCGUGCGCAGGCGGUUUUGUAAGCCAGAUGUGAAAUCCCCGGGCUUAACCUGGGAAUGGCAUUUGGGACUGCAAGGCUGGAGUUUGGCAGAGGAGACUGGAAUUCCCGGUGUAGCAGUGAAAUGCGUAGAUAUCGGGAGGAAUACCGAUGGCGAAGGCAGGUCUCUGGGCUAUAACUGACGCUCAUGCACGAAAGCGUGGGGAGCAAACAGG
rnacentral:rRNA from 1 species